GGAUUUCAUGGGUUAGUUUUAGUCCUGCGCCAGUGAGUGUUCAUCACAUUCCCUCCCUUCUCUCGCAGAAAUCCAACAUGGGAGGACAACAACGCCUAUGCAGCACUGGGAGAUCGGCACCAACGCUGCGAUGCCAGCAGCUGCCUUUACCCCCAAGGCAGGGAGCAGUCAGGAGAGGGGCCCUGGGAACUGCUCCUCUGCAGCUCCUGUGCUGCACGAGGAACACACCGCCGCUGCUCCGACCUGAGUGAUAGCAGAACCGAAUGGGAGUGCGACAGCUGUGCUGGAGAGGGCACCGCCUCCAGCACCAGCUCAGGUCUUGCUGGCCUCGGCACCACCAGCCAGCAGGGACUGCAGCCAUCUCAGAGCUCCCUGACACCCGAGAGCAGCAGCUCCGACACCACCAGCGAGCACGGACUGCAGGCAACCGAAAGCUCUUUGACAACAGAGAGCAGCAGCUCCAUCACCACCAGCCAGGCACCAUCGGAGCCAGCUCACAGUUCCCGCUUGCCUGAGAGCAGCGGCCUGUCCAGCCAGCGCAGGCCAGAAUGGAGGAGGAGGCUCUGCUUGCGUUUACAUCGCAUUGACGACUCAUGGCAUGAGUCGCUAGGUUGCUGUGGGAGCACCCAUAAUGCUGCCCUGAUAGCCAGCCAGGGGACAGCUCGGUCCUCGAGGCGCUGCCCUGCACUGCGAUACAACCUCAGGUGCAGGCAGGGACAGCGGGCCCGGACAAGAAGCCGCUCUCCAUUGCGGCACUGGGCCCCAGAAUCUCUGAGCCGGCCCCAGAGACACCUUGGGAGCAGGCAGACAGCAAGCCCAGGUGCUCAGAGCUGCAGCUACACCACACCGGCAGCACCAGGGUCCUCCAGGGCUUCCAGAACAGCUUACAGAUGCCCAUUCAGACAUCCAGCACGGGCCUGGACUCGAAGACGCUUGCCUCUCAAUCGUCGGGCUGCGGAGACCGACAGCCGGCCCCGAAGACGCCGCACGAGCCGGUCCAGGCGGCGAGGGCCAGAGCAGGGCCAGAGCUGCUCCCGGGUACCACGUCGGGCCCGGCACAUCACCAGCCGGCCCUGCUGAUGCCGCGGGAGUAUUAUUUAUAUAGUUUAUUUUAUGAUAUUAUAUAAUAUUAUUUAUUUAUAUAUAUGUUUAUUAUAUAUAUUUAUUAUAUCCCCUAAUAAAUUUCCCCACCCUAUUUCUGUGUCUCGUUUG
rnacentral:lncRNA from 1 species